CCUACGGGAGGCAGCAGUGAGGAAUAUUGGUCAAUGGGCGGGAGCCUGAACCAGCCAUGCCGCGUGAAGGCGAGUGCCCUACGGGCGUUAAACUACUUUUGUGCGGGAGCAAUAAGGGCCACGCGUUGCCCGAUGAGAGUACCGCACGCCUAAGCAUCGGCUAACUCCGUGCCAGCAGCCGCGGUAAUACGGGGGAUGCGAGCGUUAGCCGGAUUUAUUGGUUUUAAAGGUUGCGUAGGCGGCGCGUCAGGUUCGCGGUGAAAUACCGGGGCUCAACCCCGGAGCUGCCGUUGAAACCGGAGCGCUAGAGUUCCGAUGCGGUCGGAAGAAUGUGAGGUGUAGCGGUGAAAUGCAUAGAGAUCACACAGAACACCGAUUGCGAAGGCAUCUGACGAAUCGAAGAUUGACGCUGAGGCACGAAAGCGUGGGGAUCGAACAGGAUUAGAUACCCGUGUAGUC
rnacentral:rRNA from 1 species